AGAGUUUGAUCCUGGCUCAGAUUGAACGCUGGCGGCAGGCCUAACACAUGCAAGUCGAGCGGUAGCACAGAGAGCUUGCUCUCGGGUGACGAGCGGCGGACGGGUGAGUAAUGUCUGGGAAACUGCCUGAUGGAGGGGGAUAACUACUGGAAACGGUAGCUAAUACCGCAUAACGUCGCAAGACCAAAGAGGGGGACCUUCGGGCCUCUUGCCAUCAGAUGUGCCCAGAUGGGAUUAGCUAGUAGGUGGGGUAACGGCUCACCUAGGCGACGAUCCCUAGCUGGUCUGAGAGGAUGACCAGCCACACUGGAACUGAGACACGGUCCAGACUCCUACGGGAGGCAGCAGUGGGGAAUAUUGCACAAUGGGCGCAAGCCUGAUGCAGCCAUGCCGCGUGUAUGAAGAAGGCCUUCGGGUUGUAAAGUACUUUCAGCGGGGAGGAAGGCGAUAAGGUUAAUAACCU
rnacentral:rRNA from 2 species